rnacentral:misc_RNA from 1 species
AAAGCACUUAGACCCUAUGCUCAAGCUAUGAGAGGAUAAAUCAGGCCAAGAACAAGAAUUUAGAACCUUAAAUCAUCAGAUACAAGAUAAAUUAACUUUCUAAUAUGUUAAAGCAAAAAUAUUUUCUUAAUUUCGCUGUAGACAUUCCUAUUAACAGAAAAAACUCAGCGAAGCAUGUGAAAGUAAUUAAGCUUGGGUAUUCAAAUCCUAUCUUAAUUUCAUCAAUCCAAGUCAAAAAGAAUUAAUAUAAGCUCGUUAAGAAUGAUCAAACCCAAUGCCAGAAUCAAGAAACAGCUGAAACGCAACAAACAAAAUACACCUUAAAGUGAACCCAAAACAAGUUGCCCAUUUUAUGCGCAAGAAUUAGCUGCCACAAUCCAACUUAGUAUGGUUCAAAUUGCAUUCUUGUAGCAAUGAAAUGGGGAUUAACACAUCCAAAGCUACAGCACUUGUAACUGAAAACAUAAGUGUAAAAAGAAU